ACUCCUACGGGAGGCAGCAGUGGGGAAUAUUGCACAAUGGGCGCAAGCCUGAUGCAGCCAUGCCGCGUGUAUGAAGAAGGCCUUCGGGUUGUAAAGUACUUUCAGCGGGGAGGAAGGCAAUACGGUUAAUAACCGUGUUGAUUGACGUUACCCGCAGAAGAAGCACCGGCUAACUCCGUGCCAGCAGCCGCGGUAAUACGGAGGGUGCAAGCGUUAAUCGGAAUUACUGGGCGUAAAGCGCACGCAGGCGGUCUGUCAAGUCGGAUGUGAAAUCCCCGGGCUCAACCUGGGAACUGCAUUCGAAACUGGCAGGCUUGAGUCUUGUAGAGGGGGGUAGAAUUCCAGGUGUAGCGGUGAAAUGCGUAGAGAUCUGGAGGAAUACCGGUGGCGAAGGCGGCCCCCUGGACAAAGACUGACGCUCAGGUGCGAAAGCAUGGGGAGCAAACAGGAUUAGAAACCCCUGUAGUCCCAUGA
rnacentral:rRNA from 1 species